UUAUUAAUAUUUGGCAGCACAUAAUUAGGAGUCUAUUUAAAGGUAAUGAAUGUGAUGGGGAGUUUGGUCAAACUAUGGAAGCGAGA